AGGAAAAAUCAAAUUUCUAACACAAUCCGAUCAAAUACAAAACUAACCCGUUUACCCUAGUAGACCUAUGUAAGUCGUCUCGAGAUAUUUUUUUAAUAAACAAAGAUGGACGAAUUCCAUGUAAGUCGUCUAGGUUAAAAAUAGAUUGAAAAAUUAACCUAAAUGAACGACUUCCUAGAAGUCUACCAUAAAACUUUUGUGGAUGUCGUCUGCGUUAACGUUUAAUAAACUUACAUUUUUUGUAAAGCUAAUAAGAUAUUUUCAAUAUUUUCUGGUUAAUUUAUGUAGAUUAGUUUAAUAUCGAUCGACGCUCU
rnacentral:lncRNA from 1 species